GUCUUUUCAGUCGGGCGCUGAGUGGUUUUUCGGAUCAUGUCUGGUGGCUCCGCGGAUUAUAACAGAGAACAUGGCGGCCCAGAGGGAAUGGACCCCGAUGGUGUCAUCGAGGUAAGAAACGGUUGUGGAUCUUGAAGCUUUGGAAAGGUGAGUGUGUUCAUCUCAUUUAUGCGUGCAUUAUUUUUUCUAACUUACAGAGCAACUGGAAUGAGAUUGUUGAUAACUUUGAUGAUAUGAAUUUAAAGGAGUCUCUCCUUCGUGGCAUCUAUGCUUACGGUUUUGAGAAGCCUUCCGCUAUUCAGCAGAGAGCUAUUAUUCCCUGUAUUAAAGGUAAAAGAAACUGGCAUUUUUAGGAAAUUGUUCUACAUAGACAUGAACCAUAAAAGGGAAAGUAACCUCUGGGGGACUAGCACCUGUUUGUAUUCCUUAAAGUGAAAUGAUGGCAAUCAUCUUUCGGGACUGACCUGAAAUGAAGAGAAUACUCAUUGCUGAUCACUUGAUUAUUUGGGCAUAAUUAAUGUUCCAAAUGGAAUACAUGGUGUGAAGUAGAAGUGACAAUUUGAUGUGGGAUCGGUAAAUGUGUAUCCUACUUUUUUUAGGGUAUGAUGUGAUUGCUCAAGCUCAGUCAGGUACUGGCAAGACAGCCACAUUUGCUAUUUCCAUCCUGCAACAGUUGGAGA
rnacentral:sRNA from 1 species